GACGAACGCUGGCGGCGUGCCUAAUACAUGCAAGUCGAGCGAAGUUUUUCUGGUGCUUGCACCGGAAAAACUUAGCGGCGAACGGGUGAGUAACACGUAAAGAACCUGCCUCAUAGACUGGGACAACUAUUGGAAACGAUAGCUAAUACCGGAUAACAGCAUUAACUGCAUGGUUGAUGUUUAAAAGUUGGUUUUGCUAACACUAUGAGAUGGCUUUGCGGUGCAUUAGCUAGUUGGUGGGGUAAAGGCCUACCAAGGCGACGAUGCAUAGCCGACCUGAGAGGGUGAUCGGCCACACUGGGACUGAGACACGGCCCAGACUCCUACGGGAGGCAGCAGUAGGGAAUCUUCCGCAAUGGGCGAAAGCCUGACGGAGCAACGCCGCGUGAGUGAAGAAGGAUUUCGGUUCGUAAAGCUCUGUUGUUAGGGAAGAAUGAUUGUGUAGUAACUAUGCACAGUAGAGACGGUACCUAACCAGAAAGCCACGGCUAACUACGUG
rnacentral:rRNA from 1 species